UAGCAGGCAACCUACUACUGAACCAGAAACAACUCCACCUAGUACUGACAUUCCUCCUUCGACUGAGAAAGAACAUACUCCUAAUGAUUCAAGCACCACCAGAACAACUGAUAGAACGCCUGUUCUUGAGAGUGAGGCCAUUCCACUCAAUACUGAGAUGUAAGUGCAUGUACAUUAUUUGUUUGUUCUUAAUUACAUACAUUAUUAAGGCCAUUCCAACCAUUGUACAUUUUUAC